rnacentral:rRNA from 1 species
GCAUCGAUGGGUAGGGGUUCUGAGAGGAAGGUCCCCCACAUUGGAACUGAGACACGGUCCAAACUCCUACGGGAGGCAGCAGUGAGGAAUAUUGGUCAAUGGGCGGAAGCCUGAACCAGCCAAGUAGCGUGCAGGAAGACGGCCCUCCGGGUUGUAAACUGCUUUUAGUUGGGAAUAAAACGGGGUUCGUGAGCCCCCUUGCAUGUACCAUCAGAAAAAGGACCGGCUAAUUCCGUGCCAGCAGCCGCGGUAAUACGGAAGGUCCGGGCGUUAUCCGGAUUUAUUGGGUUUAAAGGGAGCGCAGGCGGACCUUUAAGUCAGCUGUGAAAUACGGCGGCUCAACCGUCGAACUGCAGUUGAUACUGGAGGUCUUGAGUGCACACAGGGAUGCUGGAAUUCAUGGUGUAGCGGUGAAAUGCUCAGAUAUCAUGAAGAACUCCGAUCGCGAAGGCAGGCAUCCGGGGUGCAACUGACGCUGAGGCUCGAAAGUGCGGGUAUCAAACAGGAUUAGAUACCCUGGUAGUCCGCACAGUAAACGAUGAAUACUCGCGGUUUGCGAUACAUUGUAAGCCGCCAAGCGAAAGCGUUAAGUAUUCCACCUGGGGAGUAC